rnacentral:rRNA from 1 species
UACGGAGGGUGCUAGCGUUGUUCGGAAUUACUGGGCGUAAAGCGCGUGUAGGCGGCCUGCUAAGUCUGAUGUGAAAGCCCGGGGCUCACCCCCGGAAGUGCAUUGGAAACUGGUAGGCUUGAGUCCCGGAGAGGAGGGUGGAAUUCCUGGUGUAGCGGUGAAAUGCGUAGAUAUCAGGAGGAACACCGGUGGCGAAGGCGGCCCUCUGGACGGUGACUGACGCUGAGACGCGAAAGCGUGGGGAGCAAACAGG